UCUUUACUUCAAAUUUGAGCAUGAUAUCCAAGCAAUCAAAGCAAGAUAAUUCAGCUUUGAAUGGAUCUAAUUCUGCUACCGCAAUUUGAAUUCAAAUUCUGUAAUUUUUGUUUGUAUCAACGAAUUCAAGAUCCAUGAAGAGGAGUUUAAACAAUGAACAAAAUGAUGGUAAUUUGAGUCAAACAGCUGAGACUUCAACUCAACCUGCUGGUAUGGAUUAUAAUCAUCCUCUUUUCCUUCAUCCCUCAGACGUGAGUGGAAUACAAAUCAUUUCCUUUCAACUAAUAGGUAUCGAGAAUUAUUUAAUUUGGUAUCGAUCUAUGCGUAUUACUCUAUUAGGAAGGAACAAAAUAGGGAUGGUAGACAUAUCUUAUAAGAAAGAAAACUUUCCUGCCACUGUGUGGAAUCAUUGGGAAAGGGUGAAUGCUAUUGUGCUAUCUUGGUGUAACAACCCGACCGAUGGUUUCAUGAGUUACCACUCUGUUUACCCUAUUUAUGCUUUUUAUUGCCUUGUUCAGCUGUAUUUUGUGUUAUCGGGUUGGUUGGCUCAGGUUCGGAGGGGUUUUGGUAAGGUUUGAGACACUUAGUCUCUUUUGAGUAAGCUUAAGUUGGAAAAGUCAACCGGAUAUUGUCUUAUGUGUUAAAGGGAUCGUAUGUGAUUUUCGAUGGUUCGGAUAGCUUCAGAAGGAGAUUUAAGACUUAGAAGCGUGAUCGGAAUGUGUUUUGGAGGUACGGAGUAGAUUUAGGCUUGAAUUGGCGAAAUUGGAAUUUUGGCGUUUUCCGGUUGAUAGGUGAGGUUUUGAUAUAGGGGUCGAAAUGGAAUUCCGGGAGUUGCAGUAGGUCCGUUGUGUCAUUUGGGAUGUGUGUGCAAAAUUUCAGUCAUUCGAACAUGGUUUGAUAGACUUUUUGAUCGAAAGCGGAAUUUGGAAGUUUUUAGAAUUCUUAGGCUUGAAUCCAAUGUAAAUUUGGUGUUUUGAUGUUGUUUUGAGCAUUCUGAAGGUUGGAACAAGUUUAAAUGAUGUUAUGGGAUAGGUUGGCAUGUUUGGUUGAGGUCCCGAGGGCCUCGGGUGAGUUUCGGGUGGUUAAACGGACCAUUUUAUGUUGAAAAAGAUUGCAAAAAAAUAUAUGCUGUAGUGUUGCAGACAAUAGUGCUUCGCGUUCGCGAAGGGCUAGAAUGUGAGGCUGAAGGUUUGGCCUUCGCGUUCACAAGGGAGGUCCCGCGUUUGCGAAGGGUUGGGGUCGUCAAGCUACGCGUUCGCGAGAGGAGAACCGCGGUCGCGAUGGGCUGGGAAGCUAAGCCUUCGCGUUCGCGAGGGUGUAGACGCGUUCGUGUAGGAGGGAUUUUGGUCAACUUAAAUUUAUGCUUCGCGAACGCGAGGCUUUGACCGCGUUUGCGAUGAAGAAAUGUUAAGUGCUGGGCAGAAUGUUUAAAAGACCCAUUUUCGCGAUUUUGGGUCUAAGUUCCUGCAUUUUUGGGCGAUUUUGAAGCUUUUUUAAAGGGGAUUGAAGAGGGAAUCAAGGGGGAACACUUGGAGGUAAGAUUUAUGGACUUAAUACUCAAUCCUAAUGUGAUUUCAACCUAAUUAAUCAUGGAAAUUGUUGAAUUUAAACCUAAAUAUUGAAGAACUAGGGCUUUUAAUUGGAGACCUAGAAUUUGGGAUUUGACGGGUCGUUUGUGGUUGGAUUUUGGUGAUUUUUAUAUGAAUGAACUCGGGGAGUAAUUAGGAGUCUAUUGAUGUAAAUUUUAUUGGAUUCCGAGAUGUGGGCCCGGGGGUCAGGUUUGGCCAAUUUCGGGAUUUGUGUUGUAAUUUGAUUUCUUUUGAGUAGACUUUAUUCCCUUAGCAUAUUUUGAUGGGUUUGCACUGAUUUUGGUUAGAUUUGGAGAAUCUGGAGGCCGAUUCGAGAGGCAAAGGCAUCGCGGGUUAGAGUUUAGACCGGAUAGAUGUGAGUAAUGAUUGUAAAUGCUGCCCUGAGGGUAUGAAACCCCGGAUUUCACUUCGUUGUGUUAUAUUGAGGUGACACACACGCUAGAUGACGAGCGUGGGGUCGUGCACCGUUCGGGGAUUGUGGCUUAGUCCAUCCCGAAUGACUGUUUUACUGCGUAUUUGAUUGAAAAUUGUUUGCUAUCAUCAUGUUUUGGGCUGAAUCCCAUAUUUGGGCCUCGUGCCAACUAUUUGGACCCUUAGGAAAUUUUUACUGCUAUUUCCUCGCUGCUUUGAUUUUAUAUCCGUACUCAGUCAUGCUAUAUUAUACUAUUUUCAUAACUCAGCCAUGUUUACUUUGUUUUAAACAUUUUAAAUGAUAUUUUGGGCUGAACAUCAUAUUUUACUGUACCCAAGUGGCUUUUAGAGAUUUCUGACUUAGAACGGCCAAGGACCUGUGUUUUGAGGAUUAUUAUGGAUCAGGCUGCACGCCGCAGCAGUGUGGUACUAAUUAUGAUUAUGAGGCCGAGGGCCUGAGUUGUACGCCACAAGGUGGCUUGAUAUAAGGCCGAGAGAUUAUUGAUUAUGCCACGAGAUGGAUUGAUAUUGCGCUUGGGCCGUAAGGGGCCCCUCCUAGAGUCUGUACACCUCAGUGAGCGCGGGUACCUAGUGUGAUAUAUGAUAUAGCCCGAGGGGCUGGUGUUUUUCCAUGUAUUGCCCGAGGGGGUGAUUCUGUUGACAUUGUGNNNNNNNNNNNNNNNNNNNNNNNNNAUAAGAUUUCACUGUUUUAUUGCAUUUUAUUGGUUUUACACUGCCUUUUUAUAGCAUGUUGUUGUGUUUUACGUGAUUUCUUAUCGCUCAGUCUUCAUUUAUUUUUAUUACUCACUGAGAUGGAGUACUCACUUUACUCCCCUCACCCUGUGUGUAGAUUCAGGAGCUUCAGGUCCCGCCAGUGAGGGUUGAUUGUUCCCAGCAGGCCAUUCGGAGUCCACAAGGUAGCUGCUCGGCGUUUGCAGUCCAGUGUUUCUAUCUUCUAUCUUACUUUUGUUUCUACUUCUGUAAUAGACUGUAUAAACUCUUUCAGACUCUUAGACACAUGUUUAGAUGCUCAUGACUGGUGACACCUCAAUGUCGGGCUGUGUUUGUUUUUGCAGUUGAUAUAUUUCACUCUAUUUUGGGAUUUAUCAUUAUUAAUGACUUAAUUAUGAAUUAUUAUAUCUAUUAAUGUAAUUGAGGGUUUGUGUCGGCUGACCUUGUCUUCACGAGAGGCGCCAUCACGACCGGUUUCGGAUUUAGGGCCGUGACAAGUUGGUAUCAGAGCCUAGGUUGCAUAGGUCUCACGAGUCAUGAGUAGAUUUAGUAGAGUCUCGCGGAUCGGUACAGAGACGUGUGUAUUUAUCCUCGAGAGGCUGCAGAACCUUUAGGAAAAAUUUCAUAUUCUUUAAAUUCUUAUCGUGCGAAUCUGUUGAUCCGAGUACUAAACUUCUGUUAUUCUAUUCUCUCACAGAUGAUGAGGAUAUGCGCUACCGGUCAGGAUAGACGACCACCAGUACCACCAGCUGUGGCCACUAGAGGCUGAGGAUGCGAUCGUGGUCGCGAUAGAGGCAGGGGUGUGGCCCGCACAACAGCUAGGGCAACACUUGUAGAUCCACCAGUCGCC
rnacentral:lncRNA from 1 species